GGUUCCAUGGUGUAAUGGUGAGCACUCUGGACUCUGAAUCCAGUGGAAUCU
rnacentral:tRNA from 1 species